UACGAAGGGGGCUAGCGUUGCUCGGAAUCACUGGGCGUAAAGCGCACGUAGGCGGCUUCUUAAGUCAGGGGUGAAAUCCUGGAGCUCAACUCCAGAACUGCCUUUGAUACUGGGAAGCUUGAGUUCGGGAGAGGUGAGUGGAACUGCGAGUGUAGAGGUGAAAUUCGUAGAUAUUCGCAAGAACACCAGUGGCGAAGGCGGCUCACUGGCCCGAUACUGACGCUGAGGUGCGAAAGCGUGGGGAGCAAACAGG
rnacentral:rRNA from 1 species